CACCCUGCAGACCUGAUCUGCAGAGCCCAGCCCACGGGGGAGGCACAGUGGACGAGUGCUGGGUAGCAGCGGCCAGAAAGGAGGCCGGAGGGCGGGCCUGACCAGCGGAGGGCGGCCAGGCUUGAAAGUGUUCCCCAAAUUAGAACCCGAUCCUUAGAAUUUAAGGAUUAGAAACACGAUCCUUAAAUUCACUUGCUAAUGGUACGAGGAGGUGGGGCGUUUGGGAAGAGCUUGGGGCUCUGCCUUCCGUAAAUGGAUUAAUCCACCAUCAUGGAAGUGGCUUUGUUAUACAAGUGAGCUCUCUGGCGAGCCGCCUCUGUCUAGGUCAUCUUAGGACGUAGCGAAGAGCCCUCACCAGCUGUGGGCACCACACUCUUGGGCUUCCCAGCCUCCAGAACCACGAACUAAAUAGAUCUCAUUCUUCAUGAAUGAAUACCAGUCUAACAACAGAAAAUGUGCUUUGCAAGCAAAUCUUGGAAGGUUACCCAGAAGGUGGUGGGAGCCAGGCUUGGAAUCAGAGCAGGAGCACGUACGGUGUAAGCCACACAGAUCAACCCGACUCAGAGUUAAGGACCCAGCGUUACCUCAGGCCUGGGAAAUGGUGAGUGUAUUUUUAACAGGCUGAGACCUAGAUGCCCCCUUCCUAUCAACAUCAGCCUGGUCUCUUCACCAUAAUCCAGCUGGCUGGGGCUUCAGGGAGAGGAAGGAUCCUCCAAAUGUCCCUGGCUUGAUGUCCCUUGACUGCUGUGCACAGCCAACAACAGGGGAGUGGGAGACCGAAUCAGCAGAGGAACAGACUCAAAUGAGCCAUGUCUAGAGUCAUCGCCGAUGCAGUUCUCGGCUCAUGGCAACCGGGUAAGCAGGAUGGGCCCCCGGCCAACAGCCUGCUUGUCUGAGUUCACACGCCCUUUGAGGUUGGGACCCCGAGAAUGUUCUGAAGGCCUACUUUGCUAAUUCAAUUACCUACUGCCUACUCUGGGAACCAAGGCUUCCCACAACUGCAAGUCCCCGUCCUGUUACCAGAGGCUCCACGUUUUCCUCGGUGGCUGUGGUGAUAUUAGUUUUAGGACUCCAAAGUUGGAAGAGAAGAUCAUAUUGAUAAAAUGGCUGAGAAAUGAUACCAAUUGCUUCGUUAGGCUGAUCUAAGAUGUUUACUACCAGGAAGACCCAAUGAGAUAGGAGCCUACAUUUCCAUUCAGCAAAAUGUGAACGACAUUCACAGUUGUUCAAAGUCUUUCAUAUUAAAAUUCUGUUAAAUCACGUU